CCGUUGUUGAACGUGACGCUUAGUUGGUAGUUAAACAAUUGCAGAUAACCGCGGAGUCCUACACUUAGGUGCCUCAAUCAUGAAUGAUAUACAUCUGGCAGGAUGUGUGUUGAUUAUGUCAGCCAUCUGCAGCUCAGCUGUCAGAGUUGGCAUCGUCGGAGGUGGCAUCGGCGGGGCCUCGGCCGCCUACUUUGUCCGUCAGCUGUUCAAGGAGGACGCCGACAUUCAGUUGUAUGAACAGAACAGAAUCGGCGGCCGCCUGGACAUGGAGGAGGUCAACG